rnacentral:snRNA from 1 species
AUUCCCACUGUCCCUGUCU